rnacentral:rRNA from 1 species
AGUGAACGCUGGCGGCAGGCCUAACACAUGCAAGUCGAACGGCAGCACAGUAAGAGCUUGCUCUUACGGGUGGCGAGUGGCGGACGGGUGAGGAAUACAUCGGAAUCUACUUUUUCGUGGGGGAUAACGUAGGGAAACUUACGCUAAUACCGCAUACGACCUACGGGUGAAAGCAGGGGAUCUUCGGACCUUGCGCGAUUGAAUGAGCCGAUGUCGGAUUAGCUAGUUGGCGGGGUAAAGGCCCACCAAGGCGACGAUCCGUAGCUGGUCUGAGAGGAUGAUCAGCCACACUGGAACUGAGACACGGUCCAGACUCCUACGGGAGGCAGCAGUGGGGAAUAUUGGACUAUGGGCGCAAGCCUGAUCCAGCCAUACCGCGUGGGUGAAGAAGGCCUUCGGGUUGUAAAGCCCUUUUGUUGGGAAAGAAAAGCAGCAGGUUAAUACCCCGCUGUUCUGACGGUACCCAAAGAAUAAGCACCGGCUAACUUCGUG